AUUGAACGAUGGCGGCAGGCCUAACACAUGCAAGUCGAGCGAGUGGCGGACGGGUGAGUAAUGUCUGGGAAACUGCCUGAUGGAGGGGGAUAACUACUGGAAACGGUAGCUAAUAACGCAUACCAUCAGAUGUGCCAAGAUGGGAUUAGCUAGUGGGGGGGGUAACGGCCCACCCAGGCGACAAUCCCUAGCUGGUCUGAGAGGAUGACCAGCCACACUGGAACUGAGACACGGUCCAGACUCCUACGGGAGGCAGCAGUGGGGAAUAUUGCACAAUGGGCGCAAGCCUGAUGCAGCCCUGCCGCGUGUGUGAAGACGGCCUUCAGGUUGUAAAGUACUUUCAGCGAGGAGGCGUUACUCGCAGAAGAGGCACCGGCUAACUCCGUGACAGCAGCCGCGGUAAUUC
rnacentral:rRNA from 1 species